UGGGGAAUAUUGCACAAUGGGCGCAAGCCUGAUGCAGCCAUGCCGCGUGUGUGAAGAAGGCCUUCGGGUUGUAAAGCACUUUCAGCGAGGAGGAAGGUGGUGAACUUAAUACGUUCAUCAAUUGACGUUACUCGCAGAAGAAGCACCGGCUAACUCCGUGCCAGCAGCCGCGGUAAUACGGAGGGUGCAAGCGUUAAUCGGAAUUACUGGGCGUAAAGCGCACGCAGGCGGUUUGUUAAGUCAGAUGUGAAAUCCCCGGGCUCAACCUGGGAACUGCAUUUGAAACUGGCAAGCUAGAGUCUCGUAGAGGGGGGUAGAAUUCCAGGUGUAGCGGUGAAAUGCGUAGAGAUCUGGAGGAAUACCGGUGGCGAAGGCGGCCCCCUGGACGAAGACUGACGCUCAGGCUGCGAAAGGCGUGGGGCAGCAAACAGGAUUAGAUACCCUGGUAGUCCACGCUGUAAACGAUGUCGAUUUUGGAGGUUGUGCCCUUGAGGCGUGGCUUCCGGAGCUAACGCGUUAAAUCGACCGCCU
rnacentral:rRNA from 1 species